UAUAUACUUUUCAUAUCAAUUCUAUGCAUGGUAUUUCACUUCCCGUUUUUCCACAUAACUCAUAUGCAUUUCAUUUUAAACAUAAUUUCAUGCAUUUUCAAUUUCUGGGAAAACGUUAAGUAUAUAUAUAUAUAUACGGAAAACAAAACUGCCCACUCACCUGGAGUUCGCCCUACAACUCCCUAGCACAAUACGCCAAGGCGUCAUGACGAUCGGCGCCUAAAACAAUAAUCAAUUCCAACCUCAGAAUUCAUAUCGAUAGAAUAUAUAACUUAUAUAAAAUACGUCACUACGUAGAUUGAUCCGGAAGAUCCACCCCUCAGAUUUUAAAUCCAUAACUUCCAGAGGUCCACAUUAUACCUCUAGGACAACAACCUAAAAAUUUCAUUACCAUCCAACGGUCGGAUCUCCGUCAAUUUCCAAAACUAAGUGACGGUUAACAUUUUAUAUUAUGGACUUACAAUUCCAAUUCCGGAAGAUCCGUAACUCGGAUUCCCAAUCCGUAAGUUCCAAUAAUCCUCAAAUAUUACGUAUUACAACGUAUCAAAGUUUUGGUGACGAUCCAACGGUCGGAUCAUCAAUUCACAUUUUCACCUAAAUGUGAAAACUAUAAAACGUUAUUUGAACACCUAACCAACAAUCUUCAAUAACUUUCUCAUACGGUGUUCAAUUUAGGUAUAUGAAUAUACCACAGUGAUCUACUCGACGUCAUGGACGUCGACAUAUUUUUAAAAUAAUUUUUUUUUAUUUUUUAUUUUUACUGUAGCACCUUCUUCUUCCUUGGGUCGCCGGACUGGUUUUUCCGGCGGCCGUUUUCUGGGCAGUUUUUUCAAAUUGCCAUAACUUUGUCAUUUCUCAACGAAAUCAAGUGAUUCAAAAACGAAAGUUGUAGCCCUUGAAGAGACAAAGAGAAUGGUACCUUGCACAACACCUAGUUAGCCGUGGUUUGGCCGGAAACUGCCUCGAAAGCCUCGGAGGUCGCCGGAAACUGGGUAUUUUUCAAAUGAGUAUAACUUCUUCAAUACUCAACGAAAUUGAGUGAAACAAAAAGGAAAGUUGUAGUACUUGACGAGACGAAGAGAUUGAUACCUACCUCGACUCCUAACUCGCCGGGGAUUCGCCGGAAAAUUCCUCGAAAGCUCCGGCCAAACUUUGAACUUGUCAAUCUCCGUGUUCUUACGUCCAAAAACUUCCAACGAAGCACUCCGAGCUUCCUUGGGACCUCACUAAGCCCGCUGUGAUCUUGUUUUAGCCUAAAACGUAGUCAUUUAGAAGAUCAUGAACAGUACCAUUUCACGGGAACUUUGAAACUAGGGUUUUUCGAAGCAAAACUUACCUGAAAUUGAUGUCUACGUGAUCGUGGAAGUUCCAGGAGUCCAAAUGUGGUCUUAUCUUGGACGUUUGUUUAUGUUUUAGGUGGUUUUGGGUGAGGUUGAGCGUCGGAGAGGAAGAGAGAGAGAACUGAGAGUGAGAGAGAGUCGUGAGGGAAGAGAGAUAGAGAGACAAGGUACGGGAAUUGGGGAAGGUUUUGAGGGAUGUGGGGAUCCCACGUGUCCAACUCAAUCCAAAUUGUUAAAUUUUCGCCCCUUAGUCCCGUUUAAGGGCAUUUUCAUCUUUUCAUGUCCUCGGAAUUAAAAUUCCGGGACGGGCUGUCACAAUCUUCCCUCCUUAUAGAAUUUCGUCCCCGAAAUUCCAGCAACCAACUAAAUCAACCAUACUCCAACAAUAGCUUCGGGUAAAUCUUUCUCAUCCGAUUCUCUUUCUCCCACAUACUUUUCGACUGAAUGAUUUCCUUCACAAAGCUUUUACUACUUACUCUGUCUUAAUUCUCAGGACCUUCUUUUUCCAAUCCAAAGUCGUUCUUGGUUCCUUAUCAAGUCGAAUCCAAUUUAAUUCUCAAUAGUUGCACCAUAAUUCCAUGAGACGACUCUGUCACUUAGUGACAACGCAUCGAACACAAAAUACAUUAAGUACCGUUACCCUGUCUGGGAAAAAGUUAUUACUCAGCACUGGAGUAAUUGUACUAACUUGGUACAUUGAUCAACUAUCACUUCAAAUUCGAUCAUAACCAUCCUAUGUACAAGGAAACUUGUACACAUAAUCCAAAGUAAUAUCUUUCCAUUUCCAUUGCGAAACAGAAAAUAGUUAUCUCAAUCCAAAGGUUUAUCUCUUUCUGCCUCAAUCUGCUGACCAAAUAAAACUGUCGAAUGGUAUGAUAAAUCUUAUUACUUUUGGAAGAUUGCAGAAGUUGAACAGUGAACUUCGUCCAAUAUUUGCUUGCUUCAAAUCCUCAGCAUUAGGCACAUACUUUUUGUUUUCUUGUAUCCACAUACCAUUUGAUUCACGAAUCAUGUACUCAUUCUUAACUUUACUUUAGUUGGUUUCCAAUCCACAAGAAGAUAACCAUGGCAAGCGUACCAGAUAUUAAUUCUUACUGCAGUCUUCUUAUCAAGUGCUUCAGUUACAACAAUUCACGAUCGCCCUGAUCGUACAAUCAUAAUCACUAAGUAAUUCAAUCCACCCUUGUUGCCUCAUAUCAAAAUCCUUCCAAGUAAUGGAUAUUGAAGACUUUUUGGAUUCGUAAAAAAAAAUCUUGCAUUCUUAUCAACAUAUAAUGUCUCCAUAACUUCACAGCAAGGAUGAUAAUCGUGACUUCCAAAUCACCAGUAGGGUAAUUCAUCUCAUGAGGUUCCAUUUGUCGUGAAACAUAUACAAUCACCCUAACAUUUGCAUCAACAUGCCUCCAAUACCAUUCAAGAAACAUCACUAAAAAUUUAUGAUUACCACUAUUAUCUGGGAAUACCAAAAUACGUGCAUGAGUGAGGAAAUACUUCAGUUGUUGAAUCCUUUGCUCACAAUUUCCUUCCCACUCAUACAUAACCUCUUUCUCAACAGUCUCGUCAAUGACAAAGCAAUGACUGAAAAAUCUUUCACAACCAUCCAAGAUAGCCUGGUAAGCUAAGAAAUUCCGAAUCUCAAUUACAGUUCGUGGUUGUUCCAAUUCCUCAAUUUCUGCUAUCUUUUAAGGAUUCACUUGAAUACCUUAAGAAUAUAUAACAAAUCUCGGAAUGCCACCUGAUUCAUCUAACUUUAGCAUUUGCUACUUAGCAUACAACCGACAUUCUUCCAAUCUUUAUUCCACCGACUUAAUACGUUUACAUGCUCUGCUCUGGCUUCAGAAUAUGCCAGAAUAUCUUCAAUGAAAAUGAUAUCUAUUUAUCAAGGCAUUAUUGGAAUACUUCAUCCAAUAACUCAUAAAACAGCAUGAGUAUCCAUAUAGCAUCACCAUAGUUCAUAAAACAAUCUUAAGAACAACGUCGCUCAUAAUCUUUAAUUGGUAAUAACCAGACCUCAAUUCAAUCUUUGAAUCUUCGCACUUACUUCUGAGCUGGUUAAAUAAACAUCAGUACAUCACCAUGGAUAACGGUUCUCAAUCGUUACCCGACUCCAUUGUCUAUAAUCAAUGAACAGUCUCAAGAUCCAUUUUCUUCCUCACCAACAAACUGGGGCUCCUCAAAAGUGUUGUACUAGGUUGAAUGAAACUUUUAUCAACCAAUUCUUUCAACUGAAUUUCCAAUUCCCUUAACUCAUCCUGAACCAAUCUCCAAUAUAAAUUUAUACCUGGCAACAAAUCAAUAAUGAACCUCAUAUCUCUGCCUGAAGGCAAUCCAGGUAUACUUUCAAGGAAGACAUCAAGAAAAGUCUAACCCCUUUUUGACAUUAUUCACACUACUCCAAACAACAUCAUUUAGCACCACACGAGCUAAUAUUUUUGACAGCCUUUCGAAAACAAUCUCUUUGCUCUCACAGCAUAAAUAACGGCCUGACUCAAUCCACUUUGCAUACUUACAAAAGUAAUCUCUGGUCAUCCAGAUCGAUGGAAAGUACUGGUUUCCCAUAACAUUUCGUCUUGUCACAAUUAUAACCAACCAAUCUAAUGGAACAGAAUUAACUGAUACAAUAUAUAUUUUAUUAUUAUUAAGCAUUCCAAAUAAGUACAAUACUAACAUAAAAUAAUCUACCGGGUUGCUUGCUUAACGAAUCCACGAAUGAGUUAUUAAUAUUACGGUCUGCAGCCCGCAAUACUGAUAAAUCAUCGUUGUCUCGAUAAGUAGGCAACCACUCUCAAAGAUAUAACAUUACUAUUUUGUUACUCAAUGCAAAAUACAUACACUCGUCUCAACUACAUUUAUUUACUACUCUCUAGGUAAUAACAUACAUAAUAAGAAAUAUAUCAGCCGAAGUCAACUAGAAUGACCAAUACGGCUGAUUCAACUCUUAUCUCAAUAAUACGUCGGCCGGAUCCACUCCGCGUGGUCGGUACGGCCGAGCCUAUAACUCACCAAUUUCUCAUGUGUCAAUCGAAUCCACUUCUCAUGGUCUGUACGGCUGAACAUAUAACUCAUCAAAUCUCUCUGUACUCACGGUCAAUCCGACCAAACUACUAAAUCCAUAACUCUGCUGAAUCAACACUAUGAUGUCAUAGAAAACUGUUGGGUACAACUGAUUCUAGGGACGAUUCACAAUUCUGUGUCCCCUCUGUUCACAUAAACACAUUCAUUAAUUUCACACUUCCCAAAGUGUUAAUUUUGUACCUGCUGCACAAAGUACAUUUCCUUUACUCGAGACACCUUGUCUCAAAUAUCUGGGAUUACCAGUAUAUCCAUCACUUUUACUCUGACCAGCGACAUUAAAACCUCAGCUGGAAGAAUUAACUCUAGCUUCACUUCUUUCGAAGCUCUGAAUCUUUCUAUCUCCUUGAUAUGACGAAUCAUUAACUUUAUCGUCUUCUUUUAAUUCCCAUUCAUUUCUUAUUCUUCUUUAUUCUCGUUGAUCAUGUUCUCAGAGUCCUCAAGACUCAACAGCAUCUCGUAUAUUCCUGGUAAGAAGUAUAAUGGAUAGUGGUCACCCAAAAUACCACUUCCCUUUUUGCCACCCAGCUUAAAACAACAUAACACCUCCACCAAUAACAACAAUAUCUGGAUGGAACAAGGCAAGUCUGAAAACUUUCUAUAAUAUCCCUCGAUCAUCACCUUCCUUGUCUCAUAUUUGUAAACUCUUGUUUACUACCAUCGAUAAAUGCCGGAGGGAUAAACUUUUCCUUAAAACAAGUCCUUAAACAAUUUUAAAUCGGCUGUUCCUCCGGUGACAACAAUUAAUACUCCUGCUUCCAUCAGGAUACACGUUCAUAACUCAAACCAGGUAGUCAUCUCGACCCCUUGUCAGAAGGAAGAUUCCUUUGACUUGCAUAAUCCGAAACAUCUUUUCCAAAUGGUUAAACCGUUACUUCGCUCCCUCAGGUUCAUCAUUUCUCUUAAGUGAUUCAAAUUCAACUCAUAACCCAUCUUAAAAUGUCCCUUUUUAUAAUAGACUGAAUCACCCUAAUAAUAGUUUCCCCUAAACCGUUAUAUUAGGGAGACUAAAUUCCUCUAACUAAGUGGCUUGCUACGAGGCGGUGUAGUUCUGACAGAAUUCACUAGAACUUCUCAAAAUGUCCAAGAUUGCAACCAUGCUCUGAUACCAACUGACACACCCCGUCCCGAAGGAGGGCAUGCUGGCCGUCACGUGAGAGUGACGUAACCAUUUGCACAGUACGGAAGCUUUAAUUAUACAAUUUAUAAGUUGAUACACCCGAAGGUGAGUCCUAAUUUUGUCCAAUCUGUCAGAACCCCGCUGUAUUCCUCGUAGUCACCACACCUUUGUGAUUCCUGAACCUGGAGGGGCGCAAAACCAAAAUUGAGUGGGUCAGUAAAACAAUUCUUUUCCAAAUCCAAACAUUUCUCAAAACGUUGUAACCCCUCUCCGUAAAACCUGUAUACUUUCCCAGAAAUGUAAAAUAUAAAUAUACAUAUAUAUUCUCAAUACUUCAUUUCACUUUUUCAACAUUUUUCAUAUCAGUUAUGCCAUGCCACAUCAUCUCAACAUUUCUCAUAUUAAUUAUGCCAUGCCACAUCAUCUCAACAUUAAUAAGGUAUGAAUGCAUUAACAUAAUCAUAUCAGGUGCAAGAAAGUAAUCAACCGUAGGCCCUCUAAUAGCCCUGUACGGUUGAACCUAGAGCUCAAAAUCUAUCAUUAUCACUCUACCGAAGUCACCUCUGUGACCCGUCCGGCCUUCUGCACGCAAGUUACGCUCUAGUGCUUCUCAUAAAUCAUCUGUGCACAUAAUCUAAGGUCACCCACCAGUCGGAAUCUCACUAACACUCUCGCGACUGGUCUGUCGUACCCACUCCGCGUGGACUGUACGACUAGCAUCUACUUGGAUCCAAGGCGAGCGUGCGAUGCGGUGAAUACUAUAAGCACUAAACCAUGGUGCAGGAUUUGAGCUCAAUAUAUAUCAUCAUCAUCAUAACAGUAAUUAAAUACUCAUCUGUGCGUCCACCGCACCAUUUCAUACAUAUGCAUCAUAAAUCAAUUCUUACCUGUGCGUCCACCGCACCAAUUCAUACAUAUGCAUCAUAUAUUAAUUCAUGCAUGGCAUUUCAACUCACAUUUCUAUAUACUUUUCAUAUCAAUUCUAUGCAUGGUAUUUCACUUCCCGUUUUUCCACAUAACUCAUAUGCAUUUCAUUUUAAACAUAAUUUCAUGCAUUUUCAAUUUCUGGGAAAACGUUAAGUAUAUAUAUAUAUAUACGGAAAACAAAACUGCCCACUCACCUGGAGUUCGCCCUACAACUCCCUAGCACAAUACGCCAAGGCGUCAUGACGAUCGGCGCCUAAAACAAUAAUCAAUUCCAACCUCAGAAUUCAUAUCGAUAGAAUAUAUAACUUAUAUAAAAUACGUCACUACGUAGAUUGAUCCGGAAGAUCCACCCCUCAGAUUUUAAAUCCAUAACUUCCAGAGGUCCACAUUAUACCUCUAGGACAACAACCUAAAAUUUCAUUACCAUCCAACGGUCGGAUCUCCGUCAAUUUCCAAAACUAAGUGACGGUUAACAUUUUAUAUUAUGGACUUACAAUUCCAAUUCCGGAAGAUCCGUAACUCGGAUUCCCAAUCCGUAAGUUCCAAUAAUCCUCAAAUAUUACGUAUUACAACGUAUCAAAGUUUGGUGACGAUCCAACGGUCGGAUCAUCAAUUCACAUUUUCACCUAAAUGUGAAAACUAUAAAACGUUAUUUGAACACCUAACCAACAAUCUUCAAUAACUUUCUCAUACGGUGUUCAAUUUAGGUAUAUGAAUAUACCACAGUGAUCUAAUCGACGUCAUGGACGUCGACAUGUUUUUAAAAUAAUUUUUUUUUAUUUUUUAUUUUUACUGUAGCACCUUCUUCUUCCUUGGGUCGCCGGACUGGUUUUUCCGGCGGCCGUUUUCUGGGCAGUUUUUCAAAUUGCCAUAACUUUGUCAUUUCUCAACGAAAUCAAGUGAUUCAAAAACGAAAGUUGUAGCCCUUGAAGAGACAAAGAGAAUGGUACCUUGCACAACACCUAGUUAGCCGUGGUUUGGCCGGAAACUGCCUCGAAAGCCUCGGAGGUCGCCGGAAACUGGGUAUUUUUCAAAUGAGUAUAACUUCUUCAAUACUCAACGAAAUUGAGUGAAACAAAAAGGAAAGUUGUAGUACUUGACGAGACGAAGAGAUUGAUACCUACCUCGACUCCUAACUCGCCGGGGAUUCGCCGGAAAAUUCCUCGAAAGCUCCGGCCAAACUUUGAACUUGUCAAUCUCCGUGUUCUUACGUCCAAAAACUUCCAACGAAAGCACUCCGAGCUUCCUUGGGACCUCACUAAGCCCGCUGUGAUCUUGUUUUAGCCUAAAACGUAGUCAUUUAGAAGAUCAUGAACAGUACCAUUUCACGGGAACUUUGAAACUAGGGUUUUUCGAAGCAAAACUUACCUGAAAUUGAUGUCUACGUGAUCGUGGAAGUUCCAGGAGUCCAAAUGUGGUCUUAUCUUGGACGUUUGUUUAUGUUUUAGGUGGUUUUGGGUGAGGUUGAGCGUCGGAGAGGAAGAGAGAGAACUGAGAGUGAGAGAGAGUCGUGAGGGAAGAGAGAUAGAGAGACAAGGUACGGGAAUUGGGGAAGGUUUUGAGGGAUGUGGGGAUCCCACGUGUCCAACUCAAUCCAAAUUGUUAAAUUUUCGCCCCUUAGUCCCGUUUAAGGGCAUUUUCAUCUUUUCAUGUCCUCGGAAUUAAAAUUCCGGGACGGGCU
rnacentral:lncRNA from 1 species